rnacentral:rRNA from 1 species
GACGAACGCUGGCGGCGUGCCUAAUACAUGCAAGUCGAGCGCAGGAAACUGACGGAACUCUUCGGAGGGAAGGCAGUGGAAUGAGCGGCGGACGGGUGAGUAACACGUAAGGAACCUGCCUCAAGGAUUGGGAUAACUCCGAGAAAUCGGAGCUAAUACCGGAUAGUUCAUCGGACCGCAUGGUCCGUUGAUGAAAGGCGCUCCGGCGUCACCUUGAGAUGGCCUUGCGGUGCAUUAGCUAGUUGGUGGGGUAACGGCCCACCAAGGCGACGAUGCAUAGCCGACCUGGGAGGGUGAUCGGCCACACUGGGACUGAGGCACGGCCCAGACUCCUACGGGAGGCAGCAGUAGGGAAUCUUCCACAAUGGACGAAAGUCUGAUGGAGCAACGCCGCGUGAGUGAUGAAGGUUUUCGGAUCGUAAAACUCUGUUGUAAGGGAAGAACACGUACGAGAGGGAAUGCUCGUACCUUGACGGUACCUUACGAGAAAGCCACGGCUAACUACGUGCCAGCCGCCGCGGUAA